GAUGAACGCUAGCGGCAGGCUUAAUACAUGCAAGUCGAGGGGCAGCAUGUCCCGCAGCAAUGCGGGAUGAUGGCGACCGGCAAACGGGUGCGGAACACGUACAGAACCUUCCUUCGAGCGGGGAAUAGCCCAGAGAAAUUUGGAUUAAUACCCCAUAGUAAAUUGAAAAGGCAUCUUUUUAAUUUUAAAGAUUUAUCACUUGAAGAUGGCUGUGCGGCUGAUUAGGUAGUUGGCGGGGUAACGGCCCACCAAGCCUGCGAUCAGUAACUGGUGGGCGAGCACGACCAGUCACACGGUCACUGAGACACGGGCCCGACUCCUACGGGAGGCAGCAGUAAGGAAUAUUGGGCAAUGGACGCAAGUCUGACCCAGCCAUGCCGCGUGGAGGAUGAAGGUCCUCUGGAUUGUAAACUUCUUUUAUAUGGGACGAAAAAAGGGCUUUCUAGCUCACUUGACGGUACCAUAUGAAUAAGCACCGGCUAACUCCGUGCCAGCCGCCGCCGUAACAC
rnacentral:rRNA from 1 species